UACGUAGGGGGCGAGCGUUGUCCGGAUUUAUUGGGCGUAAAGAGCGUGUAGGCGGCCAGGUAGGUCUGCUGUGAAAACUCGAGGCUCAACCUCGAGACGUCGGCGGAAACCAUCUGGCUAGAGUCCGGAAGAGGAGAGUGGAAUUCCUGGUGUAGCGGUGAAAUGCGCAGAUAUCAGGAAGAACACCGGUGGCGAAGGCGGCUCUCUGGGCCUUACCUGACGCUGAGGAGCGAAAGCGUGGGGAGCGAACAGG
rnacentral:rRNA from 1 species